UUAACUAUUUAUAUAGUACUCAGACGACACUAAUAAUUCAGAGUUUGGGGUCCUCUGGCGAGCACUCACCAGCGUAAGCCGGUGGCCGAAGCGGCUCGCCAAAGCAACAAAGGUACAAUAACAUAGGGUUGGAGAGUCACCCAUGAGGGCGAUAUUCUCUGUAAUGAUCCUUCCGCAGGUUCACCUACGGAAA
rnacentral:misc_RNA from 1 species